AUUGAACGCUGGCGGCAUGCCUUACACAUGCAAGUCGAACGGCAGCGGGCCUUCGGGUGCCGGCGAGUGGCGAACGGGUGAGUAAUGCAUCGGAACGUGCCAUUGAGUGGGGGAUAACGUAGCGAAAGUUGCGCUAAUACCGCAUAUUCUGUGAGCAGGAAAGCAGGGGACCGCAAGGCCUUGCGCUCUUUGAGCGGCCGAUGUCAGAUUAGCUAGUUGGUGAGGUAACGGCUUACCAAGGCGACGAUCUGUAGCGGGUCUGAGAGGAUGAUCCGCCACACUGGAACUGAGACACGGUCCAGACUCCUACGGGAGGCAGCAGUGGGGAAUUUUGGACAAUGGGGGCAACCCUGAUCCAGCCAUGCCGCGUGAGUGAAGAAGGCCUUCGGGUUGUAAAGCUCUUUCGGCCGGGAAGAAAUCGCAUGGGUGAAUACCCUGUGUGGAUGACGGUACCGGAAUAAGAAGCACCGGCUAACUACGUG
rnacentral:rRNA from 1 species